GGGGGGGGGGGGGGGGGGGGGGGGGGGGGGGGGGGGGGGCGGGGGGGCGCGGCGGGGGGGGGGGGCUCGGGGGGCGAACGGGUGGGUAGCACGUGAGUAACCUGCCCUUGACGUUGGGAUAACUUCAGGAAACUGGGGCUAAUAACGGAUAGGCGCUCCUGCUGCAUGGUGGGGGUUGGACAGGUUCGGCGGUUGGGGCUGGACUCGCGGCUUAUCAGCUUGGUGGUGGGGUAGUGGCUUCCCAAGGCUUUGACGGGUAGCCGGCCUGGGAGGGUGAACUGCCACAUUGGGACUGAGAUACGGCCCAGACUCCUACGGGAGGCAGCAGUGGGGAAUAUUGCACAAUGGGCGGAAGCCUGAUGCAGCAACGCCGGGUGCGGGAUGACGGCCUUCGGGUUGUAAACCGCUUUCGCCUGUGACGAAGCGUGAGUGACGGUAAUGGGUAAAGAAGCACCGGCUAACUACGUG
rnacentral:rRNA from 1 species